AUGGAGGGCUGACUGUGUUUCUGCUCAGGCAGAUGUGAAGUGAGCCCUAAAAGAACUUCCCACUGGCCAAUAAGAUUGUAGGAACUUACAACGCAAGUGGAAUCAUCCUGCCAUGAUACAGUCUGACGGGCAGAAGGGCACCAUGUGAUGAAAAGAGUGAUCAGGAGACAUCAGUGAAAAAGACUGACAUACUCAUUUUUAAGCAAAGGACUUCUAAGUCAUGGCUUGUUAAUCUAACACCGACGAUAACGUCCCAGGCAGAAGCCACAGCCCAGAAGACUUCCCAGCGUGGGAAGGCUUAGGAGACCAGCUGGCAUCAGGCACAUUCCACAGAAAUACUGAGAAACUUGUGAAGAACAAACAGACCUGGCAGGAGCAAGAGGAAGAUACCUGGCCUGAGUAGCACUAAAUAUGUCCCAAUUAAACAGAACUACUAUCCCAAUUAAGCAACUGUCAUGACCAUUAAUAAACACAAAAGGGUGUGUUGCACGAUGGCCUGAUUCAGUGCCGUUACUGAUUUAGUGCACUGUAAUGAUUAUUAAUAAUCCUCAGCUACUUCAUGCUUCUCUGAGUGCUCUGGGAAUUCACAUUUGCCUGGAUCCUUGAAUGAAGAUGAUACUGGAAGUGAAACUCAAAGAGAAUCAUUUGGAUGGCCGAAAUAGGUCUGAUGAAACUGCUGAUACAGAUGCCUGAGCAUUUCAUGGAAUUCUGGGCCAUUUCCUCUCCCUGGUCAUCUCAUGUCUUGUGAUCUAACCAGCUCUUAGGGGUUCCUUGGUCAAGCACUCUGGCCCUGCUUCCUCCUUUCACUUGGCUGGCAAAUUUGGCAUCCAGUGAAGUAACGUGGAGGGUAGAUACCCAGUUCUGAUUUGGGGAAAUGUUU
rnacentral:lncRNA from 1 species